rnacentral:rRNA from 1 species
UACGUAGGGACCAAGCGUUGUUCGGAUUUACUGGGCGUAAAGGGCGCGUAGGCGGCGUGACAAGUCACUUGUGAAAUCUCUGGGCUUAACCCAGAACGGCCAAGUGAAACUGUUGUGCUAGAGUGCAGAAGGGGCAAUCGGAAUUCUCGGUGUAGCGGUGAAAUUCGUAGAUAUUCGCAAGAACACCAGUGGCGAAAGCGGCUUCCUGGACCCAGUACCGACGUUCAGGCACGAAAGCGUGGGGAGCAAACAGG